UCUAUUGAAAUUUCUCAUUGGAUGGCUUUGAGGUUAAGAAUUAAUCAUCUGGGCACAUGUUAAACUAGAAAUUGAAGCUGAAAAACGAAGAGAGAAAGGGAAUUAUGAAUUUGUUGAGUUUGGCCGACUGAAGAAGAGGAAAACCGAAUUAGGGCCGUUCUUGUGAAGGCAAAUUGGGAAAAAUCAAAGAAACUUAAAGAGGAAGUAAAGAAGAAGCUCUUGGGAGGUUUGAUUUGAAGAAAUUUGGCUGAAGAAGUAAGGAAAACGAAGAAAAACAGUGGCACUACGGGAAAACAGAGGAUGCUCGGAUUUUUAGCAAAUUCGUGGAGUUAGAGGCUAAUUCGAAGCUCCAAAUUUAAAGGGGUACCGUGGAGAAUUUGGUCGAUUCCGGGAGUUCUAGGGCAAUUCGGACGUCUAAACCUUGAGGAUAAACGGGAGAUGGAGAAACCGAAAUUAUGAGGAGGAGCCGAUUAGUUGUAGCGACGAGUUCCUGGUGCUUGCUGAGCCGUCAAACGCCACUAGUGUUGUUAAACAUCUGUUGUAUUGUUUGUGCAUGUAUUUGAGAGUAUUCCAGAAUAGCUAAAACUUGUGAGUUACAUGUCAUGGGAUGUUUUGUUCAAAAUAAUCCUUAAUGUUGGUCUGUAAAUCUAUUUAAACCGUAUUAUGAUUUAAACUGAAUUAAAUUCCUAAACUCUCUCAACGAACAUAGAUUAUUUUUGGAAAUGGGUUUUGGAAGUUUGGGUUUGAUCUUGAGUACAGGAUAUGUUAAGAGUUGGGACAUUAGAUGUCAUAGAGAGAAGUGAUGUUUAACGUCUUCACGCUUCGUUUUGGAAGAGUUUGAAAGAGAGUUGGGAAUCCAACUAUGAGAACCAGUGGAUAAGAGUUACUCUUAACUGGUGUAUUCUGUAUGAUGCAUCAAUACAUAUUGGGUUUAGGAAAG